UGUUCGCCGUCUCUCCAGCUCGUUCUCCUGGCUGGCAAUCGAGGCAGCAGACAAGCUGCAAAGAGCUCCUUUUCUCCCGCCUCUCAGCUGAUCGGCAGGUGGGCGGGGCUUCCACGGAGGCCUCGUGUAGGCCUCUGUGAAGCCUGAACUCCAGUAGGGCCCAAGCCAGCCAGGAAGGAGGAGGCAGCCAGAGUGGCCACCACUGUUCUCUGCAGCAGAAGACCCCUUGCUGCCAGCCUCCCUGAAAAGCUGAUUUUGAGGACCAGGAGAUCCCAAUAAAUAUGGGUAUGGUAGGUACAGGAGGCUGCUGAUGGCAGAGAAGUCUAUGGAAGUCCUGUCCCCUCCUAGGUGUCUUGAGGCAUUCCUCACCCUUUUGCCAGGACCGCUCCCGAGAUGAGGGAUACUACAGACACAUCAACCAAUGAAUAUGAAACACAGUGGAAGGCAAGAAGAUGAACGAAGGAAGAAAAUUCGAGCAAAGAAAAGUCAAAGAAUAAAAGGGAAAAUGCUGAAGAAUGCUGGAGCUCUUUGGAGACCUGUUCAGAGGAGCGAGGCAGGAUAAAAACUGGGCGGUCCGAGCCUAGAAACACCAUGAGAGCCUAAAACUCAUGAGAUCCUCUCUGGGAGCAAUUGUGCGUGACAACCAGUGUUCCCUGUAAGAAGGAUUCUCAGAUGUUGACUACUGCAACUCCCACUAUCCCCAGCUGCAAUGGUCUUUGGCUGAGGAUUAUGGGAGAUGUAGUCAAUAACAUCUGGGAAUCCAUCUGAUACUUGUGACAACCCAUUUAGAGGGAUACCUCCUAGGAUAUAGGAGAGAAAGGGUAUAGCACCAGGAGUCUAGAGUUCAACUGGAAUUGCCAAUUUACUGUGUCCAUAGUGAAGUGGUUGUUCUCCACAAAGCUUGUCCUAAGUGAAACGCAGCACCAGGCAGUAGUAAUCCUUUUUGAAAUUCUAUGCCAAAUGCGUUUCAAACGUCGUGGUCUUCAUCAGUGGCAAUAAUAUUGACAAAUCAUGCUCCCAUGUAGUACGUUUAUGUAAUACAAAUAUAUGUACACAAGACCAUGCUGACACACUUCCUCUAGUAUGGCCCUUCCCCUCAAGUUGCGAGAAAGUU